rnacentral:rRNA from 1 species
CUGUUCCGGGGUUUGCAGGGCGUCGGCUUGUCCUGCGUCGAUGUUUGAAAUGUCAGGGAAAUUAAUAUCAUGGAAUAACUUUAAAUUGCUCAAUUGUGGCAAAUCCACUGGUUUCCUUGUUUUCCUUGGGAAGGGGCGUGUGGUGACGCGGGGCAAUCGAUGAUUCCUCCUGCUUGGUGGCGAGAUUGCGCGAAUGCUCGCCAAGGUGAGGGUGCUUGCUCCCCCACCCCGAAUGCCAGGCAUGCCAGCGUUUACAGCAAGUGGCAUGGGGUGUGGGGGUGGAAGCACGCGCGACGAAAUUCUUGUCCGGCGACCGUUAAGUGUGAAAUUCCUGUCCUGAGGCGAAGAAAUCGGUCGGUUCCGGCAAUCUCAUCGCGCUGAGCGGUGGGCGGGCGACGAUUCUGCGAGUGCUUCGGCGUUCCCUUGGCUGCAAAAGAGCUUCUCGGGCACGUUCUAGCGCUCGGUGCGGGUUGUCGCUUUUGUGUACGCGCAUUGUGCAUGAGGCGGUAAUAGGGUCGAAGGGGCUGGAGGAUCCGCGCUCGAGCGUCGAACCGUCGCCUCCGAUCCCCUGUUCUCCGUACCCGAGCGGUUUUUCGAUCCGCGUCGAGGUGAAAUACAAGGGUCNCGCCUUUGGUGUGCAUCGGUCGCCUCGUCCCUCUCUACCGGCGUGUCGCUCCUGGCCUUAGUUGGGGACCGGGUCGUGCCUCCGGUGCUCGUUACUUUGAAGAAAUUAGUGAGACAGUGCUCAAAGCAAGCCUAACGCUCUGGAUACAUUAGCAUGGGAUAACGAUUCAUUAGAUUUCGAUCCUAUUGUGUGGGCCUUCGGCGAUCGGAGUAAUGAUAACAGAGCGACAGUCGGGGCAUUUCGAUUUCAUAGUCAGAGGUGAAAUUCUUGGAUUAUAAAGACGAACAACUGCGAAAGCAUUUGCCAAGGAUGUUUUCAUGAAUCAAGAACGAAAGUCGGGUCUCGAAGACGAUUCACGCAUACCGUCCUAGUCUCAACCAUAAACGAUGCGACCAGGGAUCGGCGGAAGUUGCUUUUAGGACUCCGCCGGCACCUUAUGAGAAAUCAAGUCUUUGAGGUUCCGGGGGGGAGUAUGGUCGCAAGGCUGAAACUUAAAGGACAUUGACGCCGAAGGGCAGUACCACCAGGAGCUUGGAGCCUGCGGCUUAAUUUGACUCAACACGGGAAACUUACCAGGUCCAGACAAGUAAGAAUUGACAGACUGAUAGCUCUUUCUUGAUUCUAUGGGUGGGUGGUGCAUGGCCGUCUUUAGUUGGGGGAGCGAUUUGUCUGUUAAUUCUUGUUAACGAACGAAGACCUCAGCCUGCCUAACUAGCUAUGCGGAGGUGAUCCUCCGUGGGCCAGCUUCUUAGAGGGACUAUGGCCUUCUAGGCCAAGAAGUUUGAGGCAAUAACAGGUCUGUGAUGCCCUUAGAUGUUCUGGGCCGCACGCGCGCUACACUUGAUGUAUUCAACGAGUCUAUAGCCCUUUGAGCCGACAGGCCCGGUAAUCUGUUGAAAGUGUGUCAUCCGUGCAUGGGGACAUAGAUCAUUGCCGAAAUUGUUGUCUUCAACGAGGGAAUUCCUAGUAAGCGCGAGUCAUCAGCUCGCUGUUGACUACGUCCCUGCCCUUGUGUACACACCGCCCGUCGCUACCCUACCGAAUUGAAUGGUCCGGUGAAGUGUUCGGAUCGCGCCGACGUGGCGGUUCGCCCGCCGCGACGUCGCCGAGAAAGUCCACUGAACCUUAUCAUUUAGAGGGAAGGAGAAGUCGUAACAAGGUUUCCGUUAGGUGAACCUGCGGAAG